GCACUGUGGCUCAGUGUUAGAGCACCUGCUUUGCAUGCAGAAAGUCCUUGGUUCAAUCCCCAGGAUCUCCA
rnacentral:tRNA from 1 species